rnacentral:tRNA from 1 species
AUGAAAGCCAAAUAGGAGGUGCCUAACUGUUAAUUAGGAGAAUGUAAUUUAAUGUUACUCAUUUAGCUUCUUAUUUUGG